rnacentral:tRNA from 1 species
GCGGAUGUAGCGAAGUGGCCAAACGUGCACGGUUCAGAGCCGUGUGGCUUAGUGCCUUCGCAGGUUCGAAUCCUGCCAUCCGCA